GAGAGAGAUGAAGAACUCAGAGAAAAAGAUAACUUUUGAGCAGUACCUCCAAUUUUAUCAAUUUUCGUGGCUGUCCAAUAUCUCUAGAUUCAGCCUCAAUCAGAUCAUAGAGAUGCACGGCUUCAUCAAGCUCCACUUGGAACGCAAGCAUCGUCUUCGAGAAUGCUUGGAAGCGAUCGAUCUCAUGGAACCGGCUCGAUACGACUCUCGAGGAUU